UGACAAUUUUUUAGGGAAUCAUAAAAUUUAGUCUCGUAUAUCGAAAGGACAUUAAGAAAAUGAAAAAAAUCCGACAAUUAAGUGGAAAAAACCUGAGUGUCCUCGUCAAUCCCAAGAAUCUCUGGACUGUGGAUAUUAUAUAUGUCGAUAUAUGCUCGAGACUAUAGAGAAAAGGCGACAAGUGAUUCCUGAUAAGUACUUUGGUGGAGUUACAACUGAAUUUCCUCAAAAUAAGCUUGACGAGUUGAGAGACUUAUGGAUCAAAUACGUGGAGGAAUAUAAACAAGCGGAGAAGAGGAAUCUGAAGAAAGUGUCGAUUUUGAUUAGGUGUUAAG